CGGUGGUGUCGAAAAUGGUUUUCGAAUGAGAUGAUUCUGAGAUUGGAAGAAUGGUUCGAAGAUUUUCAAGUUUUUUCCUGAACACUGUAAUUUGAUUGAUGAUGUUGGAAAGAUACAUGUAGCAAUGUCAUUUGAUAAAGAUAUAGCAUAAAGAUACCUGGGCUUUACAGGAGACACACUUCCAUCCACAGGAUAGACAUGUUAAUACACCUGUACCCAAUGCCAGCCAGUUUAAACAAAUUUUCAGAAUUUUCUGAGGUCCUUCGGCAGAUUUCUGGAAGUUUAAUUUGUUUUAUCAAGAGUAAGAUAUGCACAG